rnacentral:rRNA from 1 species
GAUGAACGCUGGCGGCGCGCCUAACACAUGCAAGUCGAACGAUUAAAGCACCUUCGGGUGUGUAUAAAGUGGCGAACGGCUGAGUAACACGUGGGCAACCUGCCCCUUUCAUUGGGAUAGUCACGGGAAACCGUGGAUAAUACCGAAUACUUCGAGACUUCCGCAUGGAAGACUCGAGAAAGCUCCGGCGGAGAGGGAUGGGCCCGCGGCCUGUUAGCUUGUUGGUGGGGUAACGGCCUACCAAGGCAAUGAUGGGUAGCUGGGUUGAGAGACCGACCAGCCAGAUUGGGACUGAGACACGGCCCAGACUCCUACGGGAGGCAGCAGUGGGGAAUCUUGCACAAUGGGCGAAAGCCUGAUGCAGCGACGCCGCGUGCGGGAUGAAGGCCUUCGGGUUGUAAACCGCUUUCAGCAGGGACGAGGCGAAAGUGACGGUACCUGCAGAAGAAGCCCCGGCUAACUACGUG